rnacentral:sRNA from 1 species
UGUAUCUGAAGUCUGACGAGGAUGAGAACCUCCGGGGGCAAGAGGUUCGACUCGAGCGAAGCGAGAGAACGUUGCGCC